rnacentral:rRNA from 1 species
UACCUACGGGACGCAGCAGUAGGGAAUUUUCGUCAAUGGGCGCAAGCCUGAACCAGCCAAGUCGCGUGAGGGACGACGGUCCUAUGGAUUGUAAACCUCUUUUGUCGGGGAACAAAGGCGCCCACGGGUGGGCGGAUGAGUGUACCCGAAGAAAAAGCAUCGGCUAACUCCGUGCCAGCAGCCGCGGUAAUACGGAGGAUGCGAGCGUUAUCCGGAUUUAUUGGGUUUAAAGGGUGCGUAGGCGGACAGUCAAGUCAGCGGUAAAAAUGCGGUGCUCAACGCCGUACAGACGUUGAAACUGGCAG